UACUAGCAAUCAUCAUCAUCUUCUUUCCGGCUGCUGUUUGCUUUACUAUGUGGCCAUAACCCACAAGGAGGACAAAAUUAUUGCCAUCAAAUCUGGGAUGCUGCAAGACACCCAGAACACCUUCCCUUGGAUGAUCAGUAUGCAACCACAGCCUCAAGUUCGCAAGGCAAAGAGAUGUCCAGGUGCCAAAUCCACAAAAGAAGACUGUGAGCAGUGUCACAGCA